AAUGGGUCAGCGACUUAUAUUCUGUAGCAAGGUUAACCGAAUAGGGGAGCCGAAGGGAAACCGAGUCUUAACUGGGCGUUAAGUUGCAGGGUAUAGACCCGAAACCCGGUGAUCUAGCCAUGGGCAGGUUGAAGGUUGGGUAACACUAACUGGAGGACCGAACCGACUAAUGUUGAAAAAUUAGCGGAUGACUUGUGGCUGGGGGUGAAAGGCCAAUCAAACCGGGAGAUAGCUGGUUCUCCCCGAAAGCUAUUUAGGUAGCGCCUCGUGAAUUCAUCUCCGGGGGUAGAGCACUGUUUCGGCAAGGGGGUCAUCCCGACUUACCAACCCGAUGCAAACUGCGAAUACCGGAGAAUGUUAUCACGGGAGACACACGGCGGGUGCUAACGUCCGUCGUGAAGAGGGAAACAACCCAGACCGCCAGCUAAGGUCCCAAAGUCAUGGUUAAGUGGGAAACGAUGUGGGAAGGCCCAGACAGCCAGGAUGUUGGCUUAGAAGCAGCCAUCAUUUAAAGAAAGCGUAAUAGCUCACUGGUCGAGUCGGCCUGCGCGGAAGAUGUAACGGGGCUAAACCAUGCACCGAAGCUGCGGCAGCGACGCUUAUGCGUUGUUGGGUAGGGGAGCGUUCUGUAAGCCUGUGAAGGUGUGCUGUGAGGCAUGCUGGAGGUAUCAGAAGUGCGAAUGCUGACAUAAGUAACGAUAAAGCGGGUGAAAAGCCCGCUCGCCGGAAGACCAAGGGUUCCUGUCCAACGUUAAUCGGGGCAGGGUGAGUCGACCCCUAAGGCGAGGCCGAAAGGCGUAGUCGAUGGGAAACAGGUUAAUAUUCCUGUACUUGGUGUUACUGCGAAGGGGGGACGGAGAAGGCUAUGUUGGCCGGGCGACGGUUGUCCCGGUUUAAGCGUGUAGGCUGGUUUUCCAGGCAAAUCCGGAAAAUCAAGGCUGAGGCGUGAUGACGAGGCACUACGGUGCUGAAGCAACAAAUGCCCUGCUUCCAGGAAAAGCCUCUAAGCAUCAGGUAACAUCAAAUCG
rnacentral:rRNA from 1 species